rnacentral:rRNA from 1 species
ACUCCUACGGAAGGCAGCAGUGGGGAAUCUUGCGCAAUGGGCGAAAGCCUGACGCAGCAACGCCGCGUGGGGAUGAAGGCUCUCGGGUUGUAAACCCCUUUCAGCAGGGACGAAAUUGACGGUACCUGCAGAAGAAGCCCCGGCUAACUACGUGCCAGCAGCCGCGGUAAUG